rnacentral:rRNA from 1 species
GAUGAACGCUCGCUACAGGCUUAACACAUGCAAGUCGAGGGGAAACGACAUCGAAAGCUUGCUUUUGAUGGGCGUCGACCGGCGCACGGGUGAGUAACGCGUAUCCAACCUACCCAUCACUUGGGGAUAACCUUGCGAAAGUAAGACUAAUACCCAAUGAUAUCUCUAGAAGACAUCUGAAAGAGAUUAAAGAUUUAUCGGUGAUGGAUGGGGAUGCGUCUGAUUAGCUUGUUGGCGGGGUAACGGCCCACCAAGGCAACGAUCAGUAGGGGUUCUGAGAGGAAGGUCCCCCACAUUGGAACUGAGACACGGUCCAAACUCCUACGGGAGGCAGCAGUGAGGAAUAUUGGUCAAUGGGCGAGAGCCUGAACCAGCCAAGUAGCGUGCAGGAAGACGGCCCUAUGGGUUGUAAACUGCUUUUAUAAGGGAAUAAAGUGAGAGUCGUGACUCUUUUUGUAUGUACCUUAUGAAUAAGGACCGGCUAAUUCCGUG